rnacentral:lncRNA from 1 species
GAGUGUCAGACCAGUAAUGAAAUGUUUCUGCCAGAAGAGCCUCUCAGCACUUCCCCUUGCAACAGUGACCAGGAUGACCACAGACUUCACUGGAAGAUCAUUCUAGAAGCAGACUACAGAAGGUAAAGACUAGCUCCCUUUAAGCACACAAAUAAGACUUGAAUUAUUAUUUAUUAUUG